rnacentral:misc_RNA from 1 species
GAUGAAGAACGUAGCGAAAUGCGAUACGUAAUGUGAAUUGCAGAAUUCAGUGAAUCAUCGAAUCUUUGAACGCACAUUGCGCCCGCCAGUAUUCUGGCGGGCAUGCCUGUUCGAGCGUCAUUUCAACCAUCAAGCCCCAGGCUUGUGUUGGGGACCUGCGGCUGCCGCAGGCCCUGAAAACCAGUGGCGGGCUCGCUGUCACACCGGGCGUAGUAGAUUUUAUCUCGCUCUGGGCGUGCUGCGGGUUCCGGCCGUUAAAAAAACCCUUUUAACCCAAGGUUGACCUCGGAUCAGGUAGGAAUACCCGCUGAACUUAAGCAUAUCAAUAAGCGGAGGA